CUCUCUCAAACCGCAAGGUUUGGUGUUGAGUGAUACUCUUAGUCGAACUAGGCGUUUGCUUGAAAUAUAAUGGCAAGAGUGGCGCUGGAUAGUGCUUCUUGAUUAUUCAAUGUAUUAGGUUUAUCCAACUCGUUGAACUGGUCGGAAGUGAGUUUCUGGUGCUGUGGCUCGGCCUUACAACAACAAACAA
rnacentral:misc_RNA from 1 species